UAAAGAAACUUACGGCUUCUUCUUUUGGGAUAUGAGCAUCUCUGCUUCUCACUGGGAAAGCUUGUGUACGCAGUAGAUUCUGUGGAAGUGACCGACAACUACCAUGAUGGAUCCAAAUUUUCUCCUGUAUGCUUGAUAAAGGAACUGUUUGCUUUUGAAGGCAAGAGAGUUAGAAACCGUAACCCAGAAGUUAGAAGAAUCCAGAAUUAUGUUUUGAGUAAACAGGAACUGCAGGUGUUUGGCACCUCUGCGUGCUAGCUUGCAGCGGUGAUGGUGAAGAAUGAAAGGUGAUUUAAAAGAACUUUGGAACAAAGCUGCCUGGCAAAAACCUGCUGUGUUGAGAGAUUAAAAACGAAGCCAGAGGAGUGAGUUGGAGCUGGCAGACACAUGGGGGCAGCAACACCUCAGCCAUUGCAAAGAGCUGAGCACAUUUCAGAGCUUCUGCCUGCCCGCCUCAGGGACUCCUCCUAUAUCUAUCAUAUAGCUUUUUCUGGGUCAUCUCCCUAUUUCCCUUUAUUGAAGAGCUAAAUGUACACCUAGUAAAACAUAGGACAAAUUACUGGAGAGGUCUUGCCCCUACGCCAGAUUUCUGAAGCGGACCGCAACUGGGAACAGCACAGACUGUUACUGUUGGCCUGAAUAUGGCCGUGCUCAUACUUCAAAAAAAAAUUCAACAUUUUACACCUAAUAUUUACAUAUAAAGGGAUGCAGUUCGCAUGUGUUAGAGAAUUUUCCUUGGUUGUAUUAUCAUCAAGGAGAAAAUAGUAAUUUGGCUGAAGAAAGUGGCUGUGUUCUCAGCGGUACCUUUCUCAGCAGGCCUUCCUCACAGAGCUGAGGACCCAGGAGAUUAAUAUGAAAAAAAAAUAGUAGGAGGAAGUUACUGUGGAUAUUUUUUCCCUCUUGAGAUGAACACUUUCAGUGUAUUAAGUCUGUGAUCCUUACAGAAAAAAACAGCUUUCUAUUUGCGCUGAUCUGUGUGAAUACAGAAGAGCAUAUAAAGUGCAAACAGGUGCUUGAAGCUAGAAGCAGCGACACUGAUGCGAGGUUCAGCGACCACUGACAGUGGUUUCUUCUCUGAAUUAAAUGCAUAUUCCACCUUUUGUCAUCCAGACUUCUGCAACCUGGCACUUUGGAUUGGAUCUUGUUUAGCAUUACUUUUUCUGAGAAAAUGAUGACUUUUUACUGCCCCAGCUACUUACAGCCUACAUCUAUUAUUUCUUCAAGCAGGAAUACUGGAAUGUGAUGCACCGUGGCCUGCACACAACAACCGCACAGACUUCAACUAGAGCUGAAUAUGGAUUUAGCAGUUCACACUUUUCACCAAUAACCAGCCUACAGAACUAUAACCCUUUGCUUGGUAUACUUAAAAGUGCUGCCAUUGGGUUUGGGUAUCCAUAAACUAGAAAGCCACCGCGUUUUUGUUUAGUUGUGUUUUCCAUUAGUUUGCACUAGAUGAGAUAAUGUAGUUUAUCACACUCACAGGAGCAAAAACAUUUUGCUUGGUCAUUUAUUCUUUUCCUCUGAGCUGUGAUACUCCAAGAGUGUUUAUUUUCAGUGUAUGCUGGAAAAUCUAUUUCUUCCACUUCUUGUCCGCUUGUUAGUCUGUUUGAGGGAUGGUAAUAGGGCAGGCAGGGAAGCUGCUUUUAAUGUGUUCAGACAAUUCUAAUGGAGCAGUCUGACUUUUUUUUUCAGGAUGAAUGAGAUGUACAUUUGGAGACUUGUUUAAGUACUUUAAAAAUAUUGUCUCAUGUUAAACUAUGGCAUUAAAAUUUCAUAUAUGCUAUCAGUGUUUAUGAGCAAAUCCAGAUGCCUCCAUUUAGUAAGUGGAUUCAUUGACCUCCAAAGAUGUGCUUCGUGUAACCAGGGUGUUACUCUGGAAGAAAGGCAGACAUUAAUGGGCACUAGGGUGAAAGCUGUCCUUACCCGACAAUAUCUGCAGUAUUGACAAUACAGGAGAGGAAUAAGAAGGAAGCAUUUUUAAAUCUGUUGCUAAAUUUUUUUUGAUGACAUGUACUCUCAAGUCAUGUAGGAUAAGCACUCAUUGUAAUGCAGCACAAACAGUUUCACAAUACAAAGGGAUUAAUUUAAGUUGAGUAUCUAAACAAUAGCUAAUAAAAAACUC